CAUUCCGUUAACUUCUAAUCAUUUUUAUUGUUAUGCGAUUUAAAUUUUAAUAAUGUUCUGUUAUUAAAUUCUACUUGAAACAAUUACUAAUAAAUAUUUCGUCUUUCACUGACGUCAUCACAAACCUAUAGAUUAGCAGACCUGUACGUUUUGUACCUUGUGUACUCCUGGCGGUAAACCCAUGAACCGUAUUGUGACAUGGUCGGCGUAGAACGGAAAAUAAGAUAUCACUUUUGGUCGGAGCCUUCAACCGAAUAAGUACCUAGUGGCAGAUAACCUAUCCACGUAAAAGUGGCGAAUAUUUCAUUCUUGUUUCAAGUCAUAGUAUUAUUUUGAAAAGAAAUUAUCCAAGUUUAUUACGUAUGUGUUUAGUGGGCUGAAGAAACGAGGUUGGAGGUUCGCAGCAGUGAUUUGUGGUUUAUCUGCCACUGGGGAAAAUCUUUUAACUACUCCUACCACCUGAGAAGGACCGCUUUUCGACCAAGUCACCUAGGGGACAAGUACUAGAGGAACAUGUAAUUUUUGUUCUUCAUUAUCCUGCAUUUUGGAGAAUUGCCGUGUUACGGUUGACUGCGUAGCACCAUUCUGUGCUUAAGACUUUACUGAGAAGUAGUAAGGAAAACUUGUGGGGACAAUAUCAGGUCAAUCGGGUUUGUUUCGGGAACUUUUUAUAUUUAACAGUGCAAUAGUUAUCUACCUAUACCAGUACACUUAUACACUUAUUUUUUUUUAUAAUAUCCAGAACAUUUAAGUAAUUAACAUACACAUAAUUCAAUAGCGCUCCAACACCUGUAUGUCUCUUUGUAAAAGAGGAUAAUUUGGGCCCAAAUAACCUUUUCCCAUACAGUAGUUCCUUACAUUUAUUUUUUAUUAAUAUUAUUAGACUUGUUUCCCAUAUUUUUCAUAUAACUAUAUAUAUAUUUUAAUAUUAUUAGCUUGUUUCUUGUAAUUUAAAUUCCCAAUUUGUUUGCUUAACUUAAAUUCAUUUGUUAUUAAAUUAAAUUCAAUCCCUAAUCCCUAUCCUUCAGGAUAGCUAUUAGUUUUACUUGGUCAUUAUUAAAAACCACGAGUCAGAAAAAGGAUCUUUAUCAUCCAGGACUGCGUUGGUUCAGUUAGGUGUUGCCUAUUCAACUCAUUGAGUUAUAUAUAUUUGUAUGGUUCAUCCUAGGUAGGUAUUUUAGUAUUGAUUUCUUGUAGUAUUUAACGUUGCUGUACGUAUUACAAUCGUAUGAUUAUUUGGUGAAGGUUGUUGUUUAACCUUAGUGUAAGUUGGGGGUACGCUCCAUAUAAGAGCUACCCCAGUACUAAUGUAAUUAUAGUUCUCAUAUUCAGAUAAGUAGUUAAGUCAAAUUGUCAUUUUAGAGUUACAUAGGUUGUAUUUUUUCUAACUCAGAGGUUGUCAAUAAUCUAGGUAGUUAUAUUUUAAUAAAUAUUUAUUUGUUUGUA